rnacentral:rRNA from 1 species
GACGAACGCUGGCGGCGUGCUUAACACAUGCAAGUCGAACGGAAAGGCCCUGCUUGCAGGGUACUCGAGUGGCGAACGGGUGAGUAACACGUGGGUGAUCUGCCCUGCACUUCGGGAUAAGCCUGGGAAACUGGGUCUAAUACCGGAUAGGAGCCAUUUUUAGUGUGAUGGUUGGAAAGUUUUUUCGGUGUAGGAUGAGCUCGCGGCCUAUCAGCUUGUUGGUGGGGUAAUGGCCUACCAAGGCGGCGACGGGUAGCCGGCCUGAGAGGGUGGACGGCCACAUUGGGACUGAGAUACGGCCCAGACUCCUACGGGAGGCAGCAGUGGGGAAUAUUGCACAAUGGGCGCAAGCCUGAUGCAGCGACGCCGCGUGGGGGAUGACGGCCUUCGGGCUGUAAACUCCUUUCGCUAGGGACGAAGCUUUUGUGACGGUACCUAGAUAAGAAGCACCGGCUAACUACGUG